UUUAAAUGGAAAGUAAAUAUCAAGUUGUUAGCAUUAAAAGAAAACCCAAUCCUCAGAACAGGGAAUUCAGCAUUCAGGGGUGUGGGGGGGACGGCUCCACGUUCCUCCCAUCAUCACCUCUCCGGCUUAGCUAUUCCGCUCGGCUUUUCGUUCUCCUCCACCUCCAGAUGUCCUCCCAUCCUCCAGCCCUGCUUCCCCAGUGCAGAGCCAAGGCAGGCUUGGGCGUCCCUGGCUUAGCCCAGGCCAGCUGGACCUUUGAUUCUUGGGAAACCACCCUGGGGCUCCUUGCAGAGGACCAAGCCGGACUCAAGACCGCGAGGCGUGCCAAGGCUGCUCUGUUCCCGCUGGCCUUUGACCCUGGAGCUGACAUCUCCCUUGCUUUCGUGGAGCGUGUUGGGGUUGGGGAGACGGGCAGGAGGAAGGUCUGCCUCUGAAUAGCUUGAUGGGAAAAGGGAUAGAAACAGAUCCGUGUCUGUUCACCGGGAAGAAAACCUGGAGGGGGUGGGCCGGGCCGGGCCGGGCCCCAAGCAAAGCAGUACAUCCUUUCCAAGCAUCUGCUUAUUCCAUCAAAUGCAUUGAAAGGUUAUCUUUGGCUCCUGCAAAAUUCUGCUUCAGAAAUGCAGUGGAAGCAUAUUUCCUUUCUGUUGAAGUUGCCCACUCAAAUGACUAAAAACAGCUUGAUCAAA